rnacentral:rRNA from 1 species
GGGGGGGUAUCGGAUUACUGGGCGUAAGCGCGCGUAGGCGGUUUGUUAAGUCAGCUGUGAAAGCCCCGGGCUUAACCUGGGAACUGCAGUUGAUACUGGCCGACUAGAGUACGAGAGAGGGAGGUAGAAUUCCAUGUGUAGCGGUGAAAUGCGUAGAUAUAUGGAGGAAUACCGGUGGCGAAGGCGGCCUCCUGGCUCGAUACUGACGCUGAGGUGCGAAAGCGUGGGGAUCAAACAGGAUUAGAUACCCUGGUAGUCCACGCCGUAAACGAUGUCUACUAGCCGUUGGGAGACUUGAUUUCUUAGUGGCGCAGCUAACGCAAUAAGUAGACCGCCUGGGGAGUACGGCCGCAAGGUUAAAACUCAAAUGAAUUGACGGGGGCCCGCACAAGCGGUGGAGCAUGUGGUUUAAUUCGACGCAACGCGAAGAACCUUACCAAGGCUUGACAUGGGACAGACCGUACGAGAGAUCGUGCUUCUCCAGCAAUGGAGCUGUCCACACAGGUGCUGCAUGGCUGUCGUCAGCUCGUGUCGUGAGAUGUUGGGUUAAGUCCCGCAACGAGCGCAACCCCCGUUUCUAGUUGCCAUCAUUCAGUUGGGCCCUCUAGAGAGACUGCCGCGAAUAACGCGGAGGAAGGUGGGGACGACGUCAAGUCAUCAUGGCCCUUACGUCUUGGGCUACACACGUGCUACAAUGGGCGUUACAAAGGGUCGCAAGAGCGCAAGCUGGAGCCAAUCCCCAAAAGCGCCCUCAGUUCAGAUUGAGGUCUGCAACUCGACCUCAUGAAGGUGGAAUCGCUAGUAAUCGCGGAUCAGAACGCCGCGGUGAAUACGUUCCCGGGCCUUGUACACACCGCCCGUCACACCACGAAAGUUGGUAACGCCCGAAGCCGGUGGG